rnacentral:lncRNA from 7 species
UCCAUAAAGCACACCGAGAGAGAUUGUCUGUAGUGCAGGUGAAGGUAACGUGGGACACUGUCUCAUUUCUUCCAGGGAUGAAUGCUGGGAAAAGCACAAAGGCUGCUGUUCACAAAUCUGUGCGAAAGUGCCACAUCGCAGGCGAUGGUACUGUUCUCAGCUGUGCUGCUGUCUGCACUGUUGUUGGCCUGUGGUGCUGCGUUAUGGAUGUGCAAAAAAUACCUAGUGUGCAAGAGAGAAGAAAGAGCAGCAGAACGAGCUCUUCCUGAUACCAACUG